rnacentral:rRNA from 1 species
CCUACGGGUGGCAGCAGUGAGGAAUAUUGGUCAAUGGACGAGAGUCUGAACCAGCCAAGUAGCGUGAAGGAUGACUGCCCUAUGGGUUGUAAACUUCUUUUAUAUGGGAAUAAAAUGUUCCACGUGUGGGAUUUUGUAUGUACCAUAUGAAUAAGGAUCGGCUAACUCCGUGCCAGCAGCCGCGGUAAUACGGGGGAUCCGAGCGUUAUCCGGGUUUAUUGGGUUUAAAGGGAGCGUAGGUGGAUUGUUAAGUCAGUUGUGAAAGUUUGCGGCUCAACCGUAAAAUUGCAGUUGAAACUGGCAGUCUUGAGUACAGUAGAGGUGGGCGGAAUUCGUGGUGUAGCGGUGAAAUGCUUAGAUAUCACGAAGAACUCCGAUUGCGAAGGCAGUUCACUGGACUGCAACUGACACUGAGGCUCGAAAGUGUGGGUAUCAAACAGGAUUAGAUACCCCUGUAGUC